UACGUAGGGCGCAAGCGUUGUCCGGAAUUAUUGGGCGUAAAGAGCUCGUAGGCGGUCUGUCGCGUCUGGUGUGAAAACUCAAGGCUUAACCUUGGGCCUGCAUCGGGUACGGGCAGACUAGAGUGCGGUAGGGGAGACUGGAAUUCCUGGUGUAGCGGUGAAAUGCGCAGAUAUCAGGAGGAACACCGGUGGCGAAGGCGGGUCUCUGGGCCGUAACUGACGCUGAGGAGCGAAAGCAUGGGGAGCGAACAGG
rnacentral:rRNA from 1 species